CCGGUUUGUGAAAAUUCGUAAGCGUCCAACUCUGAACACCGUACACAGUUCACCCACAGGGACGCUUUUAAACAGGUGCUGGGGCUCGGGGGUAGGGCGUCCUGAGCAUGCGCCAGGCGCUGGGUCCAAUCCCCAGCACACCAAAAAAAAAAAUUGGGUGCUGCUCAAAGUUGCACUGUUCACGUCACUCCCACCCCAGCUCCCCUGCCCGAAGGCCUAAAACCCGCGCUUCCCGGCGCAACACGGUGGCCCGCGUCCUCUCCGCGUCGGCCGCCGCCACGCCCGCACUCCAGGAAAGGGAAGGCGCCCCGACGGCUACGUUCGGACUCUCGCCACCCGUCCAGCUCCUGCUUCUCCUGGGUGCCCUCGAUGUGCUGGAUUGCCUGUGCAGAAACAGGCCACUGAAGAAGCUCUGCUGGAGAUGCCAGCCAGCCAGGAGACAAGGGCGACCUCAGCCGGCCGUGACCUCCCCCAAAACACAUACCCCAGAACUGUGCGGAAAUAAACCUGGCAGAGGGGAGUGCUGCCAGAGUCCAGGAGGAACAAAGUUUAGAAACCCCCACCUCCGUUAAGUUGAAGAACCCCUUCCCAGAACCCAUAGUCCCAGUGCUGCCCAGAAAUGAGCAUCUCUCACAUAUUUAUGCAUUCUAAAGUCUGCCUGCUAGCUCAUUAAAGGCCUUUGUUACUAUUGCA